GACCGGGGAGCCCAGCUAAAUGUUCCCCGAGCCCCUCCCGAGAGCCGCCCGAGCGGAAGGCCAGCCAAAGCGGAAAGUUACGUCACCGCCUGAGCCUCCAAUCGCGGCCUUCGUCGCUUAAUCUUAAAGAGGAGAUUUUGAGUGUUGGUGAGGAAAUGUUCAACUGACGAGGCUACGAAUUUGAGCACGGUUCGGAGAGGGGAAGUACAUGACCCGUGUGUUUUUAAUCCUCGACUUCUGGCCACUGAAAUAGAACAUCUUCACGCAUGGCUACUUAGAAAACUGAAAAUCACUACAGUUUGCAUUCUGUUUCUAUUUAACACUGCUGGCUUCAAACACUGGAAGAUGAACACGGACUGGGGAAAACAGUAGGGUCUAUGCCUACGAUGGAAUACCAUCAACACGGUGAGGAACGUGAAAGCUGUUUUUUAUAUUGACAUAAAAUAAUCUUGCAGGGAUGACACGAAGAAAGCAUAAUGUACAAAACCGGUAGAACAUGUUGCCUUUUAUUAGAGAAGAGGAAGAAAACUGUCUACCUGUCCAUGUAUAGAAUUUACUGGAAUCAUCUAAACAGGGGUCAUGUCCAGUUGCUUCUGGAUGCCGGGAGAGAGGCUUUUUACAACAUAUUCUUUUGUGCGGUUUCACUAGAACGAUCUAUUACCUAUUUAAAACAGGCUUUUAAAAGUGAGGUUUUAAAAAGGCACAGAGGACGGAGGCUGGGAGGCACGCAGAGCGCAACCAACUCCCGACCUCUAGGGCUAGCCAGUGGGGUGUUUUUUUUUUGUUUUGUUUUGUUUUUUUUUUUAGCUCUGAUCACAGAGGAACCGUGGCCCCCACAACAGCGGUUUUUGCCAAGGGGACGUACGUGUUAUUGCUCCAGGGACGAGGGCAGCAGCUGGUGUCCAGGAGUGGCGCACAACCAGAGGCAAAGAGCCACAGCAGCUGGGUCAGGCGCAGGGACGAGGCAGCGCCUUUUCUUCGGUCUAUCCCCACCAUUCCCUGUCCCAAGCCUUACCUUGCU